GUGGGGAAUAUUGGACAAUGGGCGAAAGCCUGAUCCAGCAAUGCCGCGUGAGUGAAGAAGGCCUUAGGGUUGUAAAGCUCUUUUACCCGGGAAGAUAAUGACUGUACCGGGAGAAUAAGCCCCGGCUAACUCCGUGCCAGCAGCCGCGGUAAUACGGAGGGGGCUAGCGUUGUUCGGAAUUACUGGGCGUAAAGCGCACGUAGGCGGUUUUUCAAGUCAGAGGUGAAAGCCCGGGGCUCAACUCCGGAAUUGCCUUUGAAACUGGGAGACUUGAACACGGGAGAGGUGAGUGGAAUUCCGAGUGUAGAGGUGAAAUUCGUAGAUAUUCGGAGGAACACCAGUGGCGAAGGCGGCUCACUGGACCGUAGUUGACGCUGAGGUGCGAAAGCGUGGGGAGCAAACAGGAUUAGAAACCCUAGUAGUCC
rnacentral:rRNA from 1 species